ensembl:lncRNA
GGGAGAAUUAAGGGUGAUUUACCCUGAUUUGGUUGUUGACAAAUGCAUGAUAGUCCCUCAGAGGAUCAGAGAGAAGAUCAGUAAGGAGUGGGGGGCACCUCAAUUACAUCUGCCAAGUGCUGAUGAGAAGAAAAAAUGCACUCUAUUAGUGGUGGAUCAGUCGUCAGAAACCCUCUCGCUCUUACUGGAGACACUGGUUACUGGCUGACAUUAAGGGGGAAGCUCUAGAGAGAGGAGAUGUCAGCGGUGUUGAACUAUCCACAUACACCCGUCCCACUCCACCCCAAGGCACUGGACUCCACCGCUACCAGUUCCUUGUAUUUGAGCAGCCUGAAGGCCAGAGCUUGUCCCUCAGCCCAAAGAAGAAGAUCUCACUGGGUAACUGGGAUCUGCAGGCAUUUGUUGAAAACGUCUGGUCUGGCUAGACCAGUGGCGUCACACCAGUUCCUCACCCAAAACCACAAGGACUAGAAGACACCUCCAACCUGCAACUCACUUUGACCUCUGGCUUUCACACACUCUAUGGCUUGUUUUUCUCCCUAUAUCCGGAAUGAAUGUAUUGCACCUUAGUAUUUAGAUGAAUGUUAAACUCUUGUCUGAAUUAUAACUUGUAUUAAUGUGUUUGAUGUAAUGUCACAUAUCUCAUAUUAGUGGUUAAACGGAUCGUAGUUGAUCCGUGAUCAAUACGGACCAAGCCCCACGGUUCGGCACGCAUGUGAUCCGUGGAUUAAUUGCAAAAUUUUACCAUAAUAGAGUAUAACUUUAUAAUUUGUUCGUAUUUACACACACAAGCGAAUUUUAAACAAUUCCAGAAGCGAAGCGCGAAACACGAACACCGAACUAAAUCCUCUUCUGAAUCCUCUGAACAAACACAUACACAUAAAAUAAUGACAAAACACCCAUCUCGACAAUCAUUCAGGUAAACGCAGUCAGUUAUGUCUGAAGUGAAUGAAAACAGCUGAGAAAGAAAUCAGAUGUGAUGUGUAUCAUUAUAUCAGAUCUGUGCAUCAGGUCUUAAAGGGACAGCGGCCUAUAAAUACUGCUGCUGUCAUUAAUGAUCAUCAAACAACAAAACAGCUGUGAUAAAAAUCUAUAUUUAAUUUAUACAAUGAACACUAUGCAGAAUUACAUUACAUUUCUGUAUUUGAAUACUACCAACCUUAUUUUAUAUGUAACAUAUUCUGUUGUAUUUAUCUAUGAUUGCAAUUUGUGUAUUUGUUCUUAUUUUUACUGGCUGUUUUGUUGUCUCUUAAAUCAUGUUUAAACUUUCUUAGUUAAUCUAGUAGUAUUUGCUGUGCUAUCAAAGAAGUACUUCGCUUUAAGUAAUAAAUGUAAAGCAAGUUAAAUUGAAAUAUUUUAU